UACGAAGGGGGCUAGCGUUGUUCGGAAUUACUGGGCGUAAAGCGUGCGCAGGCGGCGCGUUAAGCCAGGUGUGAAAGCCCCGAGCUUAACUUGGGAAUUGCGCUUGUGACUGGCGUGCUGGAGUGUGGCAGAGGGAGGUGGAAUUCCACGUGUAGCAGUGAAAUGCGUAGAGAUGUGGAGGAACACCGAUGGCGAAGGCAGCCUCCUGGGCCAGCACUGACGCUCAUGCACGAAAGCGUGGGGAGCAAACAGG
rnacentral:rRNA from 1 species